GAGUCAGAGCCACCCCUCUAUCGUAUCCACGAAAUCGAAACACGCCCGUGCACACAAACGUGCAGUCGUCGCUCACGUCAAACCACCUCAUCGCACACCACCGCACAGGUGCCAUCUUUUUUUUUUUCCGCGAAGAAGCGAAAUCAACCACAAAGAGAAGCCAAAGCGCUCGCAUACCCUACUCCAUCUUCGUGCGCCUCCUCUCUCUUUCUCCGUCUUCCUACUCGCCACACAGCCUCGGCGCCCGCCCCUCACACUCCCUUUUGCUGUGGUGCUUUUCCGCUACGUUCUGUGAGUGUGGAUACACCUCUCUUUUUGUUUCCCCCGUCUCUCUUAGUCUCCUACGCGCACGCCAUCGUUGCUGUCGCCGUCACGUGCACAGUCUCCAUAGCCAUCACAAAAAAAAAGCAAAACAGAAAACACACACAUACGCAUUCUUUUUCACGCGCAAUGGUUGCCUUCACUCCCGACUCCCGCGGGCGCAACUGCGUCACUAUCCACAGCGAAGAUGGCUCCAGCGUUACCGUCUAUGAGCAAGGCGCGCACGUCAGUAGCUGGAAGACCAAGGAUGGAAAAGAGCAUCUGUACCUCAGCCCCACUGCCAUCUUCGCUGACCGCACCGCCCUGCGUGGUGGCGUGCCGCUGAUCUUCCCGCAGUUCGGGGCUUACGGCCCGCUGCAGCCGUCGCACGGCUUCGCGCGCAUUCGUUCGUGGAACAUCGAGGAUGCCCAGAGCGGCAGGGCGAGCUUUUCGUUGCGCGUGCCCCUGUGCGAGCUGCUGCCGGAGGAUUCUUCUCUCACCGAUUCCCCGCAGAGCGCCGUCAACCUGCUGUACACGAUUUGCUUCAGCAACACCGAGCUGAAGCUGCGUAUGAAGGUCACGAACACAAGCGAGGAACAGUCAGCACCGUUUCAGUUUGCCUUCCACACGUAUUUCGCAGUGUCCGACGUUUCGAAGACGGUAGUCAGCGGCGUCAACCGCUCUCCUUUCGUCGACAACUGCAAGGCGCGCGGCAACCCGAACACACAGCCGAGCCCGCCGGAGCAACUGUGGAUUAUUAGUGGCGAGCACGACCGCGUUUACCCCGACCAAGCGUGCGCCAUCGUCCUCCAGGACCUGGGCACGAAGACCACGCUUCAAAUCUCCAGUCCUAACCUAAGCGACGUGUGCCUCUGGAACCCUGGUGAGUCCAAGUGCGCUGCGAUGAAGGACAUGCCACCGGAUGGCUACAAGCACUUUGUGUGUGUGGAGCACGGCAAAAUGCUGAAAAAGGUGGUGGUGCCGCCGUGCUCGAGCUGGACCGGCACGCAGGAGAUCGCAAUCAUAGCUGAAAGUCCUCGUGAGUCGAACAUAUAGGCACGGUUCGGAGGCAGCAAAAAGGAAAGGAAGCGCGACAGAAACGCUUCCCACGAGGCGUGCAUUUCUUCUGCGGCCUCGAGCGCUGGAUAUGCCUGCUCUUGCUGGUGCACACAUACACAUGCACACACCUGCUUUCAUCCUUUUUCUCCGUCGUCGCUUUGGGCGCGUUGCAGGCGCGGCGACGGGUGGCUUGGUGCAGUGUCCCCAGACUGGGCUGUCUAGCCAAAUGCGACCAACACAUACAUACGCGUAACUCCACAUACGCUGAGAGAGCAGAGGCAGAACCGGAAGCAGACGGAGAAUGCGCGCGUGGCUGAUGCCCACGUAUCCGCUAGUCAAUAUAGUUGCGCACUUCAAUGUUACCUGAAACUCACCCAUAAAGUUCACGGCCCAUCGUUUUUGCCUGUGAUGGUAUAUUCUUCCCCUGCGCAUUUCCGAAGUGAAUAACUAAAUGCUGCGUGCUUGUGUGUGCUCGCGUAGGCGACCUCCUCUGGCACGCACCACCUCACAGUGCGUCGUAUCUCAGGGUUCGCUGCCCCCCCCCCCCCACACACUUCCGCUGUCUCCUAUCAAAUGCCGAUCCAACCACUUGUGGUGGUGCCAGGGUUAGGCACCUACGAUUAGAGGAGGCCAAACCGAUUAUACCGCUACGGAUGUCGGCGGCGACGUCGUGGAUGGCGUGGCAUUGGAGCGACCUGGGUACGUGCACACAGCUUGUGCCAUCCAUACGAUUGGGCAGCGUGUGCCCGCGUGACUCAAACGUGUAGCGCACCCUGGCCCUCAACACUGCCUACUGGUGGCGGAGCGCCUGAGUGUCACCCCGAGAGAGAUACAUCAAGUGUGGCGACCUGCAUGAUGGGGGGAGCGGCAGUGAAGCGACCUGCAAAAACGCGUGUGGGUGGUGGGUAGAAUUUGAGGCAGGGAGCCGAGCUCUGCUGACUGAGUCGGCGCAUUGCUGCAGCGCGCGUCCACAGCAGAUUCGUGCCACGCGAUGUGUCUGUGUGGCAGGCAGUGGCAGAGCGGAGCUGAACUCAUGUUGUGUGGCAGCGAAUGGGCACGUCGAAGGAAAAGCCAAAUCAUUUUUUUUAUCACUUUGAUGUCCUGGUGCGUGUUUGGGGAGCAUUCGAUGUUGCCACGUGUUCAUGUGCGCAUAUGUUUGCUUCGCUUGGUUUCUUGCUUCCGUUUUCUCAUUGUAUCUGGUCCAUCCACGCACACACACACACACCUCCUUUUUUUCAUCGGUCUCUCCACUGCCUUUGCGGAUAUGCCCGCAUGUGUGCUUGUGUGUGUGUGUGUGUGCCUUCACGUGCUCUGUAGUGUAUCUGACGUGUAUCAUCGACAGGGGGAGGGUACGUCAGCGCCCGGCGUUACGUGUUUGCGUGUGUAUAUAACCACGGGUGUGCGUGGACGGGCAUCGGCACAUGCCGCCUUAGCCGUUCUCCAUGGUAUUUGCGUGACUACAGGAGUGAGUUCGAUGGCUGAAACAUCUCAUUAGUAUUGCUUACGUUCUCUCUCAUUUUAUGCACUUGUUGCUCUCUCCGUGGGAGUGCUCGAGAGGCCGAUUAUUAUUAUUAUGUGUGUGUGUGUCGUGUUGAUGAUGCGACUCGCAUGCAUCACAACUGUCAGCGACGUGUUGCAUCAAGGCGAGCUCCCCGUCCUCCUUUAUAUGCCUAUGCUGAGGCGGGGUAGAUGGAUCCCUUGCACCUCAGAGCAGCACUACAGAGGAAAAGAGAAAGCGUGGGAUGAGGGUACACGUGUGCUUGCGUAUACGCUACAGAACAGGAGCUGCGGCAGUUG
rnacentral:misc_RNA from 1 species